GGAUAUAUUACUUCCUGGUGUCCCGUGUAUACCCGGUACCACAUCUCCAGAUCCUCCGGAGCUACCACUACUUCCGACGCUGCUACCGCUACCGUAUCCACCCCCACCGUACAUAAGUCCGCAACGCAUUUCUGAAGUCGAGUAUUAUAAUUUCUGACUACGUAAAAUCAACUGGUACGGAUCAUUGCGAGAGAUUAAUAUCCAGAGUACGAAGCCAAAUUGCGAAGCCUCAACUCGGGGUUGUAAUUAGAAACGAGGGUGAAAGCGCUAAAGCGAUCCGGAAUUGGCUGACCAGUUACGGAAGUGUUGGAUGUGGCGCUGCUCGAACUACUUCCGGGACAACCUGGGCUCCAAGGCGAAGCCGGUCAAGGAAUGAAUCGGGAAAAUAAUGCACAACGCGAAAAAUUUGACCUCGGUGACACCGGGACCGGAAACGAGUACAAGAGGAAACGAAGCUCGUCGAACUACUAAAUAAAACGCAUUCACUGCCAGCCAUUACUGAUUGCAACGAAAUGCGGGUGGAAAAUUGUAGCUUGUGUAAUCUAUAUGCACAAUGUAGUUCUGGACGCAUACAAAAAAUUAUUAGUGUACUUUUUUUUUUUGGUUGGUACCAUAGACAGAGAUAAUUUUUAAUAAUUAAAUUUUACGUAUAACUGUAAAAUAGAUAUAUUCAAUUGCCUCUUAGUGGUACAUUUGUAUAAAAAUCUAAUAUCUUUUACUUUACCAUCUAAAAUUUCAUAUUAGAUUCCACAACAGUGACGUUAUAGAGCACGGAAUUAACAAAAUUUCCAGAAUCGUCUGGCUCUAAAUUUUACUCACUGCGCAGAAUUAAAUCGUUAACAUGAUUUAUCUAUAUGCUUGCUUAAGUUUACGACAACUAGAUCGUGUAUUGCCAACGCAACACGUGUAAUAGGUUAGGGCACUAAGGAAGCCUCUUUGGCAGCGUCGAUAUGCAGCUCGAACAGUCGGGCCAGCUGUUAUCAAUAUUUUUUAUCAUUCACCUACCUCACGACAGAGUUAAUGCUAUGUAAAAUAAUCAUCGUUGUCUAGUAACCACGUAAAUCGUGACGAGUGGGAAAGAAUGAAUAUCCAAAAAAAAAA